rnacentral:rRNA from 1 species
CGUGAGUGAAGAAGGCUUUCGGGUCGUAAAGCUCUGUCAAGUGGGAAGAAACCGCUUUGGCUUAAUAUGCCUUGGCGCUGACGGUACCACUGAAGGAAGCACCGGCUAACUCCGUGCCAGCAGCCGCGGUAAUACGGGGGGUGCAAGCGUUAUUCGGAAUCAUUGGGCGUAAAGAGCGCGUAGGCGGUCUUGUAAGUCAGAUGUGAAAGCCCGGGGCUCAACCCCGGAAGUGCAUUUGAUACUGUAAGACUUGAGUAUGGGAGAGGGAAGUGGAAUUCCUGGUGUAGAGGUGAAAUUCGUAGAUAUCAGGAGGAACACCGGUGGCGAAGGCGACUUCCUGGACCAAUACUGACGCUGAGGCGCGGAGGCGUGGGUAGCAAACAGGAUUAGAUACCCUGGUAGUCCACGCAGUAAACGGUGAUCACUAGGUGUAGCGGGUAUUGACCCCUGCUGUGCCGCAGUUAACGCAUUAA